GAAAAUUUACGGAAAACCGAAGCUUACCGGCGGCGGUGCUCUCGGGUGCGGCGGCUCUCUGGUGAAGUUCGUGUUUUGGUGAUUCGGCUCCGAUCAACCUGUAGAGAAAAGAAUGGUGAUCACGGUGAUAUAAAAAUUGCAUUAAACGGAGGCCGGGAAGGGCCUCAUCGGAGGCAAAAACCGAGGAGGGACGCGGCAGCGCCGCUGGCUUUCGGUCGUUUGGCCGAGAUUUUGGCUCCGAUUUGGCCACUGGAGAAAUCAGCUUGGAAAAACGAGUCGGGGGUAUGAAAUUUACCUCGAUCGGCGGUCGGAAAUCUCCCCGGUGCGGCGGCGGGUGGCGGCGGCCGGCUCUGGUUCGUCUUCUUCGGCGAGGGCAGGCGGCUAGGGUUUUGUGGUCUGGUGUGGGGGUUCUAUUUAUACCCUUUUGCCUUUUGAUCUUAGCCGUCUAUUUUGAUUUAAUCUGGGCCGUCCGUUUUUGAUUAAAUCUGGACCGUCCGUGCGCGCGAUUGAUCUGGACCGUCCGAUCGCGCGCACGCGGAUCGCCAACGUGGCCCGUCCCGGAUCGACGUGGUCU
rnacentral:lncRNA from 1 species